rnacentral:lncRNA from 1 species
GGGUUCGGCCAAGACAAUAUAAAAGGGAGCAAGGUAGCAACGUUUUGAUGAUCACUUCUUCCACCAAAAAUUCAGAAAAACGUUUUGUCUCUUCUAUUCUCUAAAUCUGUGAGAGUGUCAAGGAGCAAGCACGCAGCCAAUAGAACUUCCUCAACGCUGCUGAAGUCCUUCCUGUGCUGGUUCAUCACCCCUUUUAAGCGUCAAGGCCAAGAAGACUCAAAAGUGUAAACUAUGCUUUGGAUUUAUUUUGUUCCUAAUGCCUUUGGAUUUCUAAUCGCAUGGAUUAUGACUACUGUUGAUUGACAAUAUGUCUUAUGCAUGAAUUUUAUAAAGUUUUGUUUUAGAUUGUUAAUGAAAUUUGCGUAACUUAUUCCUUUGCCAUUCUUGAUGUUGAAAACUUAUGAUCCGGUUUAUUUAAAUGACAAACUUCUGCAGGGUUAGUAGUGCCAUCAAUCUGUGUUAAACCGCUGAGGCAAACACAGAUUGAAUAAGUGGCAAAAGCUUAGAUUCAUGGGAAUGGAUCAGGUUUAGAUCAUGAGUUGCGUGUAGACUUGUUUAAGCGCUGAGAUAGACAUUUUAUGUGUUCGAAUUCUUCUUUGUUCUUAAUGAUUCAUGUUAUAUGUUGUAUGGUUGCGCAGAGUAAUAACAUGACAUAUUGCAUGGAAUUUGCUGUGUUAAACCGCUGAGGCAAACAUAGGAUACUUAAGAAGAUAUUAUAGGUUGCAUGACCGCUGAGGCGUGUAAUUCUGGAUUCGUUUCUUCAUACUUGAUUGGCAUGAAUUUAAGCUAUGUAGAUUGAAGCAAUCUGUUACAUGAUUUUAUAUGUUUGUGUGGAAUGAAGUUGAUCACUUGUACAUAGUAGUUUAGUAUCUUUACUUUACUGUUUACGUAGGAAUGUUAGAACAAACCUCAAAAUCCCCCCUGAAAUCAUGUAAAUGUAAUUGUUGUUUAUAUUUUGUAAAUAACUCUUAAGUUAGACUCUAAUCUGUUUAGUUUUGUAAACGCAGGAGCACCCUAAAAGUCCCCGGAUUGAUCGAACCUUAUUUACCAAUACUACAAUUGUCAAAACAGGGUUCAUAAUUGUCGCACGCUCGGUUUCGAGCACGUCAGUGCUUGUUAUGGAUGUGAAAAUGGAGUGAAGAAUUAUAUAGGAAAAGGUUAGAAUUACCCGGGAAAGUGAUUUUCGGGCUUGACCUGCAAAACGAGAACGAGAUUAGAGAGGCGCCUGGACGUAUCCGGAUAGUCACCCUUUGACGCUCGAGUUAGACAUUUUGCGGACAAACAUGAAGGAAGAGUUGGAAAUUAGUUAAGUUUAUUACCUUGGGAGUGAGGCCAGACCUUUUUAUAUAGAGGCGCGGAGGGCGAGUUUGUCAAGGUGGCCAGCGACGGCUGUUAAGGACAAGUGUCACUUGUGGUACGGAAGGAAACUUCCAGACCCACGCUCCGAAUCGAACCGCACAUGUGCGUCCAUGUGUUUUGCCGGAAGGUGCCCAACGUUGGGCUGAAUGUUGAGAACGCAUGUGCAAGGCUAAAUUAGAGCGCUUGGCAUAGGUUCCCACAACAGUGCUACAUACACCCAAAUGUUUUAGAAAAAAAAAAAAAGGGUAAAAUUCCUCCUAUGAGACAUGACGUAUGGCCAACUGGACAAUUUGGUACCUGAGGUUUCCGAAACUCAAAAUUGAGUUCAUGACUAGCACAACCACAUUUAGAAGGAAGAGAGCUUCACGAUUUACAUUCUAUUGCUUAUCGUCGUCACCGAAAUUGGCGACUUCCGGCCAAGUAGCACUGCCUGCUCCCACAAGAGGUAUCUUGUUUGGCUUGACCCACCGUGCAACACCACCCCAAAUUUGAAUUAGGUGGCCGCGUGAACUCACCGUGUCACAAGACUACUUUAAUUAAUACACUAAAGGUAGUGUUAUGGGUGUUCAAAUCACAAGUACAAAUUUCUUAAACAUAAAUUUUAAUAAUGUCAUAUUCGAUCAAUAUAACUGUAAAACAUUAAUAUGCUCCCAAAAGACUUUAAAAAUAAUAAAGACCCCAGACUAAUAAUCAUCGACCCACAAAACUCAUGUUCUUUUAUGUUUAUAAAUAGAAAUAGCACAUAAAUAUCAAUUUUCGUGGCAUUUGCAGUUUCAUUUUCUAGAAUAAGGAAGGAGCGAGGAACAAGCUAGCUACCAUUGUGCAUCUCACUGCAAACGUCAUACAUCUCUUUGGGGCUUGAUGAACAG